ensembl:lncRNA MIR9-3HG MIR9-3 host gene
AGGCUCCCAGCCCCUCUUAACUGGGCUCAGGGAGUGGGGCUUGCCCCUGCUCAGUGCGUGGGGGUCCCGGCCCCACACAGUGCUAGGGUCCCUCUCGAGUUUCUCAUCUGCCUUCAGGUCACUUUCCACCCUGAUGCCUUGGCUUGUCCUGAAGCUCAGGGCCCCUGUAGCUUGGGAAACCUCCCAAGCUCCCCAGCGAGUGGCUGUAGACCAAGGAAGGGACCCUGCCCGGCUUCAGGGAAGAAAGGAAGAAAGUUACUCCCCUGCUGGUGCCUCCCUCCUUGGCGCGCUUCCCACCUGCGAUCGGCGCCCUCUUCGCAGUCACGAACUCGCCAGCAGCUAGCAGCACUGACUAGUAGGAGGGCCCGCCGGAGGAGAGGACAUGCUCUGGAGUCAGAAGACAGCGAAAAGAGAAGCAGAAGCCCCGGUGGCAAGAGUCUGAAGGAAGGAUGACUGUAGCCUGUGGAUUGUACUGCAGUAGGAAACUGUCCUAGCAAGGCUCCACUUUGCCCCAGCUUCAAGCUGGAAAGGAGGAGAACAUGAAACAUUGCUUGAAGACAAUGGCCGAGACAGCAGGUCCCACCCUGCACAGCCACCAGCAUCUCUCCCCUCAGCCCUGUCUCCUCUUCUGCAGUUGGGAUCUGCACAUUUAAGCCUGAAAUUGUCCUGUGAAGUGAAGUAUGAUCGGACAGCCUCUUUUCAGCUUUUAUGACAAUGGAGACAGAGGAAUUGUGGCUCUUGCCAAGGUCACAGGAUUGGAAUACAGAGCCAAGCCACCCCAGGACAUGCAAGAGCCUCAGAAGGGAAAAAAGCCCAGCAGGAAGGGAGAACAAGUAGCCUCUGUCCUGAAGUUGUAACAGCCAGGGGCCAGGAUGGAGGAGGAGGACCCCAUAAUCUGCCCAUCUGGGACUUGGCAGGGGACCUGGGAAAAUGUACCCCAACCCAUCCCUUAAGGGCCUUUGUCUUUGGCCCAUUGGCCUAG